GUUCGAUCCUGGCUCAGAUUGAACGCUGGCGGAUGCUUUACAUGCAAGUCGUGAACUGCAGCACGGACUUCGGUCUGGUGGCGAGUGGCGAACGGGCAGGAGUAAUGUAUCGGAACGUGCCUAGUAGCGGGGGAUAACGCACGCGAAAGGUAGCUAAUACCGUAUACGCCCUUCGGGGGAAAGCGGGGACCUUCGGGCCUCGCAAUUAUUAGAGCGGCCGAUAUCGGAUUAGCUAGUUGGUGGGGUAACGGCUCACCAAGGCGACGAUCCGUAGCUGGUUUGAGAGGAUGACCAGCCACACUGGGACUGAGACACGGCCCAGACUCCUACGGGAGGCAGCAGUGGGGGAAUUCUGACAAUGCGGGGAAAUCUCAAUCCAGCCAUCCCGGGCGUGUGCGAUGAAGGGCUCUCCGGGCUGUAAAGCACUUUUGGCAGGAAAGAAACGGCACGGGAUAAUAUUCCCGUGCAACUGACGGUACCGCAGAAUGCCCAAUCCACACGCGCCAGCAGCCGCAGGUAAUACGUAGGCGCAAGCGUUAACUGGAAUUACUGGGCGUAAAGCGUGCGCAGGCGGUUCGGAAAGAAAGAUGGAAAUCCCAGAGCUUAACUUUGGAACUGCAUUUUUGUCUACCGAGCUAGAGUGUGUCAGAGGGAGGUGGAAUUCCGCGUGUAGCAGUGAAAUGCGUAGAUAUGCGGAGGAAAUACCGAUGGCGAAGGCAGCCUCCUGGGGAUAACACUGACGCUCAUGCACGAAAGCGUGGGGAGCAAACAGGAUUAGAUACCCUGGUAGUCCAAGAUCCUCUAAACGAGAUGUCAACUAGCUGUUGGGGCCUUCGGGCCUUGUAGCAGCUAACGUGCGAAGCUUAACGCCUGGGAGUACGGGUCGCAAGAUUAGAACUCAAAGGAAUUGACGUGGGGACCCGCACAAGCGGUGGAUGAUGACGACCUGAUGCAACGCGAAAACCUUUACCUUGCCCUUUACAUAGUCUAAUCCCGAAGAUCCGGAGUGCUCGCAAGAGAACUGAACACAGGUGUAUGUAUGUAUUGCCGUCAGCUCGUGUCGAGAUGUUGGGUUAAGUCCCGCAACGAGCGCAACCCUUGUCAUUAGUUGCUACGAAAGGGCACUCGACGAGACUGCCGGUGACAAACCGGAGGAAGUGUGGGAUGGACGUCAAGUCCAUGGUCUCAUGUGUAGCUUCACACGUCAUACAAUGGUCGGGACAGAGGGUCGCCAACUCGCGAGGGGGAGCCAAUCCUGUCCGAUUCUGUAGUCCGAUCGUCUGCAACUCGACUGCGUGAAGUCGGAAUCGCUAGUAAUCGCGGAUCAGCGUUCGGUGCGGCAUGUCUCUGGUCUUCGUAGCACACCGCCCGUCACACCAUGGGAGUGGGUUUUACCAGGAUAGUUAGCCUAACCAAGGAGUGGGCGAUUGGCCACGGUAGGAUUUCGCGACCGGGGGUGAAGUCGUAACAAGGUAA
rnacentral:rRNA from 1 species